rnacentral:rRNA from 1 species
CGGACCUACGGGGGGCAGCAGUGGGGAAUAUUGCACAAUGGGGGAAACCCUGAUGCAGCGACGCCGCGUGAGUGAAGAAGUAAUUCGUUAUGUAAAGCUCUAUCAGCAGGGAAGAAAAUGACGGUACCUGAGUAAGAAGCCCCGGCUAACUACGUGCCAGCAGCCGCGGUAAAACGUAGGGGGCGAGCGUUGUCCGGAAUGACUGGGCGUAAAGGGUGCGUAGGCGGCAUAAUAAGUUAGAAGUGAAAUACCCAGAGCUUAACUCGGGUGCUGCUUCUAAGACUGUUGAGCUUGAGUGCGGGAGG